rnacentral:rRNA from 1 species
GAUUCCGGAGAGGGAGCCUGAGAAACGGCUACCACAUCUAAGGAAGGCAGCAGGCGCGCAAAUUACCCAAUUCUAACAGUUUGAGAGAGGUAGUAACAAGAAAUAACAAUACAAGGCAGUUAAAAUGCUUUGUAAUUGGAAUGAUAGAAAUUUAAACCCUUUUUAAAGUAUCAAUUGGAGGGCAAGUCUGGUGCCAGCAGCCGCGGUAAUUCCAGCUCCAAUAGCGUAUAUUAAAAUUGUUGCAGUUAAAAAGCUCGUAGUUGAAGUUCUGCUGAAAGUAACCGGUCUGCUUUUAAUAAAAGUGGUAUCUUGGUAUGUAUUUAGCAAUGAUGUCCUUUGAAGUGUUUUUUACUUUAUUGUAAUAAAGCAUAUUCAGGACUUUUACUUUGAGAAAAUUAGAGUGUUUCUAGCAGGCUGACGCUUUGAAUACUGCAGCAUGGAAUAAUAAGAUAGGAUUUUAGUUCUACAUUAUUGGUUUUAAGAGCUAAAUUAAUGAUUGAUAGGGACAGUUGGGGGCAUUUGUAUUUAACUG